rnacentral:lncRNA from 1 species
CUUACUUUAUUGUUUUUUAAUAAGCCGACUCAAUGUUUUCUAUAGCAUCUGUUCUCAAGAAUAAUACAGCUAUCCAUGGAUCUGCCUGACACUGUGUUCCUGACAGCUUCCUUUUGGCUGUACACCACCUCAACAAACCAAAUCGCCAGACUCAGACACAAUUAUACAGCCAAGAUGUACUGAAUGUCAGCAAAAGCAUCUGAUGAUAUAUAAGAAAAUACAUAAAGGACUAGUCCCAGCUUAAUAGCAGGGUGAUCAAAGAAACAUUGCCAGCCUUCCAGCAGGUAAUCCAAGCAGAUUAUUAUUACUACCAGAUGGGGUGAUGUACCAUGCGGCAUGCAAAAACAAACAUAUCCUUCCCGUAAUUCUUGCCCGCAGGACCUAUCCCCAGCUGUACAUAGAACUCGUUCCAUAACUCAUAUGGACAGUUGAGGGCUUGAAGCAAACACAAAUACAGGACCAGCAUCCAGACCAUAGCCAUCUGGUAUGGUACGGGCAGUUGCAUUGCGCCUGAUGACAAACUACAUCAAUCAUUAUAGGGUACCUCGCUCUCAACUAAUCUUCAAACCUUCUAUCAAUGUCAAAGAAAAUCAGAAAUAAUGUGUUCUUACCAAAGGGAAAAAGAAACUACACAACUUUGAAAAGGCGUAUAACAACGUAAAACGAGAUCUCUUAUACCAAGCGCUAAGGAUAAAUGGAUUACACCCAACAGAGUGUGUUUGGUUCUUCUGUCCAAGAUGGUAACAUAGGGAUUAAGGCUAAUGAUCAAUUCACAUCCUACUUUUAGAAAAGAAAGGGGUAGGCAAGGUGACCCACUAUUCCUCUAUGUUUUCUUCUCAAACACGCAAGAGAACCGCGUAUCUUUUUAUAUUAAGAAAAAAAUGUAUGAAAACCUAAAAAAAAAACCAAGAUAAUACAUCAACACAUCUCAACACACACGGCUACAACAAAUCCAUAACAAGUCCACACACAUUUUAACCGGCACGCAACCCAUAGGGAGUAUUAAAUAGCAAUUCUCAUCAUGUAAAAUGUUUUGGUGGAACUUUUCACACAUUUGUAAUACGUUAUCGUGGUUUGACGACACUUUUCUAAAACGAAGAGGUAGAAGCGG